AGGGGCUUAGGCUCGAACAAACCAGGGGCCUUCAAAGCCCCAACCGAGGGUGAAAACCCCCCAGCCUCUG
rnacentral:tRNA from 2 species